GACGAACCGAGCGACCGUUAUUCGGAAUCACUGGGCUUAAAGGGCGCGUAGGCGGGCGAUCAAGUCAGGGGUGAAAGCCCCCAGCUCAACUGGGGAAGUGCCUCUGAUACUGGAUGGCUUGAGUUUGGGAGAGGGAUGCGGAAUUCCAGGUGUAGCGGUGAAAUGCGUAGAUAUCUGGAGGAACACCGGUGGCGAAGGCGGGUCUCUGGGCAUUAACUGACGCUGAGGAGCGAAAGCGUGGGGAGCGAACAGG
rnacentral:rRNA from 1 species